rnacentral:tRNA from 1 species
GGUUCCACAGUGUAGUGGUUAGCAUGUCUGCUUUACACGCAGAAGGUCCUGGGUUUGCACCCCAGUGGAGCCA